rnacentral:rRNA from 1 species
GACGAACGCUGGCGGCGUGCUUAACACAUGCAAGUCGAACGGAAAGGCCCUGCUUUUGUGGGGUGCUCGAGUGGCGAACGGGUGAGUAACACGUGAGUAACCUGCCCUUGACUUUGGGAUAACUUCAGGAAACUGGGGCUAAUACCGGAUAGGAGCUCCUGCUGCAUGGUGGGGGUUGGAAAGUUUCGGCGGUUGGGGAUGGACUCGCGGCUUAUCAGCUUGUUGGUGGGGUAGUGGCUUACCAAGGCUUUGACGGGUAGCCGGCCUGAGAGGGUGACCGGCCACAUUGGGACUGAGAUACGGCCCAGACGCCUACGGGAGGCAGCAGUGGGGAAUAUGGCACAAUGGGCGGAAGCCUGAUGCAGCAACGCCGCGUGCGGGAUGACGGCCUUCGGGUUGUAAACCGCUUUCGCCUGUGACGAAGCGUGAGUGACGGUAAUGGGGAAAGAAGCACCGGCGAACUACGU